UGCCAGCCGCCGCGGUAAUACGGAGGGGGUUAGCGUUGUUCGGAAUUACUGGGCGUAAAGCGUACGUAGGCGGAUUAAUAAGUAGGUUAUUAAAUACCGGAGCUCAACUUCGGUGCUGUAAUCUAAACUGUGUUUCUAGAGGAUAGGAGAGGUAUGCGGAAUUGUGCAAGUAGGGGUAAAAUCCGUAGAUAUGCACAGGAACACCAAAAGCGAAGGCAGCAUACUGGACUAUUCCUGACACUCAGAGACGAAAGCGUAGGUAGCAAAACGGAUUAGAUA
rnacentral:rRNA from 1 species